rnacentral:rRNA from 1 species
AAUCAACGCUGGCGGCGCGCUUAACACAUGCAAGUCGAGCGAGAAAGGGAGCAAUCCCUGAGUACAGCGGCGUACGGGUGAGUAACACGUGGGUAAUCUACCUUUUAGUGGGGAAGUAACCCUGGGAAACCGGGCGUAAUACCGCAUAAUCCUGUGAAGGGAAAGGACAGCAAUGCGCUGAAUGAGGAGCCCGCGGCCGAUUAGCUAGUUGGU